UGCGAGUGAAGCGGCAAGAGCUCAAAUUUGAAAUCUGGCACCUUCGGUGUCCGAGUUGUAAUUUGUAGAAGCAUCUUUUGGAUUGGUCCUUGCAUAUGUUCCUUGGAACAGGACAUCAUAGAGGGUGAGAAUCCCGUUCAUGGUGGGGAAUCCAAUUCUUUGUAAAGUGCUUUCGAAGAGUCGAGUUGUUUGGGAAUGCAGCUCUAAGUGGGUGGUAAAUUCCAUCUAAAGCUAAAUAUUGGCGAGAGACCGAUAGCGAACAAGUACAGUGAUGGAAAGAUGAAAAGAACUCCGAAAGGAGAGUGAAAAAGGACGUGAAAUUGUUGAAAGGGAAGUGCUUGAGAUCAGUCUUAAGGUUUAGUGAUCAGUCUUCCUUUUGGUUGGUGCACUCACUAUUUCUUAGGCCAACAUCAGUUUUCGCGGCAGGAUAAUGACAUUGGAAUGUGGCUCUUUCGGGAGUGUUAUAGCCUUUGUUGAUACUGCCUGCUUAGACUGAGGACCGCGCUUUUGCUAGGAUGUUGGCAUAAUGAUCUUAAGC
rnacentral:rRNA from 1 species